UUAGAUUCUUUAAAGGAAGAUGAGAUAAUGUAGAAAAUCAUCACUUGCCCUGUUUAAUAUGGUCACGAGGGAGUGAUCAUCUGUAGGCCUACACAUAAACCUGAGAUGGCUAAUUCUGUUGGUAUUGAAGUUCUGCUCUGUGCAACAUCAUUUGCCCGAUUAUGUUUUUCAUGUUGGUUCGCAGAAUAUCAUCGCUUAAAUCAUCUCUGGAUAUCAUUACUCAUUACUCGCUCCACUCUACACAAGUUGCCUUGAAAUAGCUGAAGAUAUUAAUGUAUGAUAUAACAUGCAUGAUAAUCCUUGUGAGCCUCUUCUACAAGACAGACCUAAUAGUGGUUUGCAGGAUAAGUGGGUACCUGAGGAAGUUCGAAUGUAAAAUGUGCUGAUAUAUUUCCUGCAGCAAACUAUGGAAUUUCCCCCAUAGGCAUCGUUCCAAUGACUGGAAUGGUUUCAUCUCGCAUCUUUCUCAAUUUGUUUCUCAUAAAUUUCUUAAUCUGGAUAGUCUUCAUGUAUGUAGAAGCUGCUAGUGACCUUAAUUAUGAGAUUCUGCAUUUCCGCAACAAAGUGUUGAGAACACGGAAGAAAGUUGAUGAUAAGCCAGAAUUCAGUGGUAAUGAAUCUGGAAAGACGGAUUUUCCAAGAUAGCUUAAAUGGAAAAGACGGAAUUCCAAGAUAAUGUAUCUCGGAAAGACUCCUUUCCAAGAUAUCUUAACUAUCUCAGAAAUACGUAGGUGGAAUUGCAAGAUAGUUAUUCUUAGAAAUGAAAAAUUCCAAGGAAACUCUUCUCAGAAAACUAAUUUCCAACAUAGCUAAUUCCUGAAAAAUGGGAAUGUAAGAUGAUCUCGGAUUGUUUGAUUUGAAUUUAAUUUUUUCCUUUUAUACAAUUUAUAUUUAUUUAUUUUUUGUGUAUGUAAAUGGUUGGUAGACACUGUUAAGUAGAUAUUAAUAUUAUUAUAUUAUUUUUAUUAUUGAUUCAUGUUUUUAUUGAUUAUUAUUUUUCUAUUAUAAUUAUAGCUAUUAUUACAAUAAUGAUUAUAAUUUUAUUAUUUAUCAAUUUUCAUCGCUUUUCUUAUCAUGUGUUAUGAAUAAUAAAAUCACAAGCUACAUUUCAUUACUUUUAUUUUAAUAUUGUUGAAUUCUUGGAUGUGUACUGACAAGAAAAUGAUUAGAAAAUAACUCAGUAUUAAAUGGUCAGUAUCAAAAUAAGAUCAAAAUAAGAGCCUUAUUCAGACUAUCAAAACAUGGGGUAAGCCUAAUAAAUAUGGUCAUGAUGGCAUCACACCAUGACCAUAUAUAGGCACAUAUGUAGGAGCGUGUGCCACAGCGUGUGGGGUGUUGGACUUCUGAUUGUGAGAUCAGAAGUUCAAAUGAAAACGCACUAUAUAAAUUCCGAUUCUGAAAAAAAAAAAUCAUUACUAUAAUAUAGUAUAUUAUAUGUUAUAUGGGCAUGCAACGGCUUUUUUUUUGUCAAAUAAAAUUUAAUAUUCUGGAAUAUUCAUAUUAAUUCGUAUGAUUUAAUGUAAUAAAAUAGAUGGACCAUCAUAUAUAUAAAGAAUAUUAAAAUAUUAUGGAGAUUUAAUGCGGUUACAAGAAAGCUCAUCUGUUAAACUUCCUUUAACUAGGAAGUACGAGAGAAAAGUGAAGAGACCCGUAGGAAGGCCUGAAGACACAUUGCUAAACUCAACAGAUUGAAAAUUCCUCCAAUAGGAAAAAAAUGGCCUAAUAUGGAGGAAAGUGUGAUCUCUAAAGCUUUCAACACAGUUCUGCUUCAGUACAACAAAUUUUUCUCUGCUCUAUGUGAGCGUUUAGAGACACAGAUUUAAAACAAUUCCAUCGGACAAACUUCUUCACGUUGUAGACUUCAUAAAAUUGCAUUAGCCAACGUUAAGCCAAUAUGGCAAUGAUGAUGUAUAUCCUUAUUGUAUUUUUUACUCUGCACUCUAUUAAAGUAUAAAGUAUAAUCUUAUGUUCAGAUGAAAAUGAGAUUGUUUAUUAAUGAGUUUCUGGUUAAAUGAUUUGAUAAUAAUAUGAUUACUGUAAACAAAAUGUCAACCAUGACAUCAAUAAUAUACAUUCAAAAUAAUUUUCUCUUCCCUUGCUUUUUGUUACUGCCCAUGUAAUG